rnacentral:rRNA from 1 species
UACGUAGGGUGCAAGCGUUAAUCGGAAUUACUGGGCGUAAAGCGUGCGCAGGCGGUUUUGUAAGUUUGUCGUGGAAUCCCCGGGCUCAACCUGGGAAUUGCGAUGAAGACUGCAAAGCUGGAGUCUGGCAGAGGGGGGUAGAAUUCCACGUGUAGCAGUGAAAUGCGUAGAGAUGCGGAGGAACACCGAUGGCGAAGGCAGCCCCCUGGGUCAACACUGACGCUCAGGCACGAAAGCGUGGGGAGCAAACAGG